rnacentral:rRNA from 1 species
AACGGAGGUGUCGAGCGUUAUCCGGAUUUACUGGGCGUAAAGCGUGUGCAGACGGGGUGAUAAGUGGUGUAUGAAAGCGUCAUGCUCAACAUGGCAAGCGUAUGCCAGACUGCCACUCUUGAGGGCGAGAGAAGGAUGUGGAAUUCCGGGUGUAGUGGUGAAAUGCGUAGAGAUCCGGAGGAACUCCAGAGGCGAAAGCGGAAUCCUAGAUCGUACCUGACGUUCAGACACGACAGCAUGGGGAGCAAACAGG